rnacentral:rRNA from 1 species
AACGAACGCUGGCGGCGUGCUUAAUACAUGCAAGUCGAACGAGAAAGCCCGACUUCGGUUGGGCGAGUAAAGUGGCGAACGGGUGAGUAACACGUGGACAACCUACCCUUGAAUCUGGGAUAAUCCACCGAAAGGUGGUCUAAUACCGGAUAAUACCAAUUAGGGGCAUCUCUUUUUGGUCAAAGGCGGGGUAACCUGCCGUUUUAGGAUGGGUCCGCGUUCCAUUAGCUUGUUGGUAGGGUAAUGGCCUACCAAGGCGACGAUGGAUAGCCGGCUUGAGAGAGUGAUCGGCCACACUGGGACUGAGAUACGGCCCAGACUCCUACGGGAGGCAGCAGUAGGGAAUAUUGCGCAAUGGACGAAAGUCUGACGCAGCAACGCCGCGUGGGUGAUGAAGCAUCUUGGUGCGUAAAACCCUGUCAGUGGGGAAGAACCGUACGGAGAGUAACUACUCUGUACCUGACGGUACCCACAGAGGAAGUCCCGGCUAACUCCGUG